GAUGGAUUGGUGCCUUCGGGAACUGUGAGACAGGUGCUGCAUGGCUGUCGUCAGCUCGUGUUGUGAAAUGUUGGGUUAAGUCCCGCAACGAGCGCAACCCUUAUCCUUUGUUGCCAGCGGUUAGGCCGGGAACUCAAAGGAGACUGCCAGUGAUAAACUGGAGGAAGGUGGGGAUGACGUCAAGUCAUCAUGGCCCUUACGACCAGGGCUACACACGUGCUACAAUGGCAUAUACAAAGAGAAGCGACCU
rnacentral:rRNA from 1 species